GUCCUAGUUAGGAUUCUUUUCCUAGUGAGGAUUUAAAGUGCUGGCAUUAGACAAGGCUCCUUGUACUUCGCACAGAGCUGGUGCUCAGUGAAGGGCUGUUGAAGGCCUUAGUGAACACAUAGGAUUCAGAGAACUUUUUUUUAAGAGCUCAAAUUUAUUUAUUUAAAAUUUUAUUUAUUAUUUUUAAUUGGAGGACAAUUGCUUUACAAUGUGGUGUUAGCUUCUGCUGUACAACAACCCGAAUCAGCUAUAAGUGUGUGUGUAUUCCCCUCCUUUCCUCCCAUCCCCCCAGGAGACAGAGAACUUCACGAAAUUAAGUGGUCCUUCCCGCAGCCAGAGGGAUGGACCAAACGGCCUCUCUAAACCCCUUUCACCCCGAGUCUGGGAGGGCCAGGGAAGAGCUGGAGUAAAGGGCCAGCUUCACCUCCCAGGCAGGGAAAGACGCCCCCACCCUCACCCCAACCUCCUCCACGCAGAAGGGCUGUGAGAGCAACUCCUUUCCACACAGGAAAAAAUAAACUCAUUGGCAUCUCCCCACCCCCUCAGCACCCGGUCACCCCCUCUCCAUCCCCACCCUGAUCCCUGGACCCAGCCGAAGGAGCUGGAGUCUAGGAAAAACAACUCCUGGAGAAAGGCCCAGGGCAGCUGGGGGUGGGCUGAGGGGUGCGCGCGUCAGUUUUGAAAGCCCUGGGGCCGCUCUAAGCGGAGGGGAGUGAAAGGGGGAGGGGAGGAGGAGUGGGAGAUGGAACAGAGAAAAAGGGAGGAUUAAUUCGCUACUCGGAUACCAGGGCCAAGGACUGAAGCGUCUUCCUGCUUAUCCCCUCCCCUCCUCCAUCAGGCGUCAUCCAAGGGAGUUGCCUUGGGACAUCCAAGGUGGGGGAGGGGGUGCGGGGACGCUGAGGGCCCGGGAGUGGGAAGCGCAAGGGUGUUUGAGGAGCAAGGAUGUGCGAGGCUGCUUACAGACCCCAGUGGGCUGCGUUCUGGAAGACACCCCAUGGCUGACCCUCUCCAGGUCCCGCCUGAGCCCCUGCAAGGGUUCUGCCAGCGCCGGCUCAACAGCGGCACCUGCUGUCCGGGGCCCUCCCUGCGGGGCGGAGCUCCCCCUCCGCCCUGGGAGCCCAGCGGGAUGACAGAAAGAAGACCUUUGGAAGUACUGCUGUAAUUGCCAGACUUCAGAGACUCAUUCGCCAAGGUGAGUGAGAGGCCACUUUAGUUAGAUCCCUGGAGGUGACAGCGUCAAGAUUUCCCACCCCCCCUCUCCGCAGUGC
ensembl:lncRNA